GUUGUAUAGUCAAGUAAUUAAGUGCAUGUGGUGGAUGCCUUGGCAGUCAGAGGCGAUGAAAGACGUGAUAGCCUGCGAAAAGCUCCGGGGAGGCGGCAAAUAUCCUUUGAUCCGGAGAUGUCUGAAUGGGGGAACCCACCUACUUUAAGGUAGGUAUUGCAACAUGAAUACAUAGUGUUGCAAGGCGAACGAGGGGAAGUGAAACAUCUCAGUACCCUUAGGAAAAGAAAUCAAUUGAGAUUCCCUCAGUAGCGGCGAGCGAACGGGGAUCAGCCCAUUAAGUUAUGUGUGUUUUAGUGGAACGCUCUGGGAAGUGCGAACGUAGAGGGUGAUAUUCCCGUACACGAAAGGGCACACAUAAUGAUGACGAGUAGGGCGAGGCACGUGAAACCUUGUCUGAAUAUGGGGGGACCAUCCUCCAAGGCUAAAUACUCCUGACUGACCGAUAGUGAACCAGUACCGUGAGGGAAAGGCGAAAAGAACCCCUGUGAGGGGAGUGAAAUAGAUCCUGAAACCGCAUGCAUACAAGCAGUGGGAGCACCUUCGUGGUGUGACUGCGUACCUUUUGUAUAAUGGGUCAGCGACUUAUAUUCAGUAGCGAGGUUAACCGUAUAGGGGAGCCGUAGAGAAAUCGAGUCUUAAUAGGGCGUUUAGUUGCUGGGUAUAGACCCGAAACCAGGCGAUCUAUCCAUGAGCAGGUUGAAGGUUGGGUAACACUAACUGGAGGACCGAACCCACUGUCGUUGAAAAGCCAGGGGAUGACUUGUGGAUAGGGGUGAAAGGCUAAUCAAGCCUGGUGAUAGCUGGUUCUCCCCGAAAGCUAUUUAGGUAGCGCCUCGGACGAAUACCAUAGGGGGUAGAGCACUGUUUCGGCUAGGGGGUCAUCCCGACUUACCAAACCGAUGCAAACUCCGAAUACCUAUGAGUACUAUCCGGGAGACAGACUGCGGGUGCUAACGUCCGUAGUCAAGAGGAAAACAAUCCAGACCGCCAGCUAAGGCCCCAAAAUCAUAGUUAAGUGGGAAACGAUGUGGGAAGGCAUAGACAGCUAGGAGGUUGGCUUAGAAGCAGCCACCCUUUAAAGAAAGCGUAAUAGCUCACUAGUCGAGUCGGCCUGCGCGGAAGAUGUAACGGGGCUAAAACUAUGUGCCGAAGCUGCGGAUGUAUACUUUGUAUACGUGGUAGGGGAGCGUUCUGUAAGCCGAUGAAGGUGUGUUGAGAAGCAUGCUGGAGGUAUCAGAAGUGCGAAUGCUGACGUGAGUAACGACAAAACGGGUGAAAAACCCGUUCGCCGAAAGACCAAGGGUUCCAGUCCAACGUUAAUCGGGGCUGGGUGAGUCGACCCCUAAGGCGAGGCCGAAAGGCGUAGUCGAUGGGAAAAUGGUUAAUAUUCCAUUACUUCUGUGUAAUGCGAUGAGAGGACGGAGAAGGCUAAAUCAGCCUGGCGUUGGUUGUCCAGGUGAAAGGAUGUAGGCAUGUAUCUUAGGCAAAUCCGGGGUACUCUAUGCUGAGAUCUGAUAGCAAGCUGUACUUGUACAGCGAAGUGGUUGAUGCCAUGCUUCCAGGAAAAGUCUCUAAGCUUCAGUUACACAGGAAUCGUACCCGAAACCGACACAGGUGGUCAGGUCGAGUAGACCAAGGCGCUUGAGAGAACUCUGCUGAAGGAACUAGGCAAAAUGGUACCGUAACUUCGGGAGAAGGUACGCUGUUGUUGGUGAUGGAACUCGCUUCCUGAGCUGACGACAGCCGCAGAAACCAGGCCGCUGCAACUGUUUAUUAAAAACAUAGCACUCUGCAAACACGAAAGUGGACGUAUAGGGUGUGAUGCCUGCCCGGUGCUGGAAGGUUAAUUGAUGGGGUUAGCGUAAGCGAAGCUCUUGAUCGAAGCCCCAGUAAACGGCGGCCGUAACUAUAACGGUCCUAAGGUAGCGAAAUUCCUUGUCGGGUAAGUUCCGACCUGCACGAAUGGCAUAAUGAUGGCGGCGCUGUCUCCAGCAGAGGCUCAGUGAAAUCGAAAUCGCUGUGAAGAUGCAGUGUACCCGCGGCUAGACGGAAAGACCCCGUGAACCUUUACUGCAGCUUGACACUGAACUUUGACCUUACUUGUGUAGGAUAGGUGGGAGGCUUUGAAGCUGGAACGCAAAUUCCAGUGGAGCCGUCCUUGAAAUACCACCCUGGUAAUGUUGAGGUUCUAACUCUGUCCCGUGAUCCGGGACGAGGACCGUGUCUGGUGGGUAGUUUGACUGGGGCGGUCUCCUCCUAAAGAGUAACGGAGGAGUACGAAGGUGCGCUCAGCGUGGUCGGAAAUCACGCGUAGAGUAUAAAGGCAAAAGCGCGCUUAACUGCGAGACCCACAAGUCGAGCAGGUACGAAAGUAGGUCUUAGUGAUCCGGUGGUUCUGUAUGGAAGGGCCAUCGCUCAACGGAUAAAAGGUACUCUGGGGAUAACAGGCUGAUACCGCCCAAGAGUUCAUAUCGACGGCGGUGUUUGGCACCUCGAUGUCGGCUCAUCUCAUCCUGGGGCUGAAGCAGGUCCCAAGGGUAUGGCUGUUCGCCAUUUAAAGAGGUACGCGAGCUGGGUUUAGAACGUCGUGAGACAGUUCGGUCCCUAUCUAGCGUGGGCGCUGGAAAUUUGAGAGGAUCUGCUCCUAGUACGAGAGGACCAGAGUGGACGAACCUCUGGUGUACCGGUUGUGACGCCAGUCGCAUCGCCGGGUAGCUAUGUUCGGAAGGGAUAACCGCUGAAAGCAUCUAAGCGGGAAGCCUACCUCAAGAUAAGAUUUCCCUAGGACUUUAUGUCCUCUAAAGAGCCGUUCGAGACUAGGACGUUGAUAGGUUGGAUGUGGAAGCAUAGUGAUAUGUGAAGCUGACCAAUACUAAUUGCUCGUGAGGCUUGACUAUACAACACCCAAGCAGUUG
rnacentral:rRNA from 1 species